GGUGCUUUACACAUGCAAGUCGAACGAUGAACCGGUUUCGGCCGGGGAUUAGUGGCGAACGGGUGAGUAACACGUGGGCAAUCUGCCCUGCACUCUGGGAUAAGCCCGGGAAACUGGGUCUAAUACCGGAUACGACACUCCAAGGCAUCUUGGGGUGUGGAAAGUUCCGGCGGUGCAGGAUGAGCCCGCGGCCUAUCAGCUUGUUGGUGGGGUAAUGGCCUACCAAGGCGACGACGGGUAGCCGGCCUGAGAGGGUGACCGGCCACACUGGGACUGAGACACGGCCCAGACUCCUACGGGAGGCAGCAGUGGGGAAUAUUGCACAAUGGGCGAAAGCCUGAUGCAGCGACGCCGCGUGAGGGAUGACGGCCUUCGGGUUGUAAACCUCUUUCAGCAGGGAAGAAGCGAGAGUGACGGUACCUGCAGAAGAAGCACCGGCUAACUACGUGCCAGCAGCCGCGGUAAUACGUAGGGUGCGAGCGUUGUCCGGAAUUAUUGGGCGUAAAGAGCUCGUAGGCGGUUUGUCGCGUCGAUUGUGAAAGCCCGGGGCUUAACCCUGGGUCUGCAGUCGAUACGGGCAGGCUAGAGUUCGGCAGGGGAGACUGGAAUUCCUGGUGUAGCGGUGAAAUGCGCAGAUAUCAGGAGGAACACCGGUGGCGAAGGCGGGUCUCUGGGCCGAUACUGACGCUGAGGAGCGAAAGCGUGGGGGGCCAAAACGGAAACCCCCUUUGGUCCGGGGGGU
rnacentral:rRNA from 1 species